UACGUAGGCAGCGAGCGUUGUUCGGAAUUACUGGGCGUAAAGAGUGUGUAGGCGGUGCUCUAAGUUCGGUGUGAAAUCUCCUGGCUUAACUGGGAGGGUGCGCCGGAAACUGGAGUGCUCGAACGUGGGAGAGGAAAGCGGAAUUCCUGGUGUAGCGGUGAAAUGCGUAGAUAUCGAGGAGGAACACCUGCGGUGUAGACGGCUUUCUGGACCAUUGUUGACGCUGAGACACGAAAGCGUGGGUAGCAAACAGG
rnacentral:rRNA from 1 species